rnacentral:rRNA from 2 species
UUGUGAACUCGAAGAGUAGGGCGGGACACGUGGUAUCCUGUCUGAAUAUGGGGGGACCAUCCUCCAAGGCUAAAUACUCCUGACUGACCGAUAGUGAACCAGUACCGUGAGGGAAAGGCGAAAAGAACCCCGGCGAGGGGAGUGAAAAAGAACCUGAAACCGUGUACGUACAAGCAGUGGGAGCACCUUCGGGUGUGACUGCGUACCUUUUGUAUAAUGGGUCAGCGACUUAUAUUCUGUAGCAAGGUUAACCGUAUAGGGGAGCCGCAGGGAAACCGAGUCUUAACUGGGCGUUAAGUUGCAGGGUAUAGACCCGAAACCCGGUGAUCUAGCCAUGGGCAGGUUGAAGGUUGGGUAACACUAACUGGAGGACCGAACCGACUAAUGUUGAAAAAUUAGCGGAUGACUUGUGGCUGGGGGUGAAAGGCCAAUCAAACCGGGAGAUAGCUGGUUCUCCCCGAAAGCUAUUUAGGUAGCGCCUCGUGAACUCAUCUUCGGGGGUAGAGCACUGUUUCGGCUAGGGGGUCAUCCCGACUUACCAACCCGAUGCAAACUACGAAUACCGAAGAAUGUUAUCACGGGAGACACACGGCGGGUGCUAACGUCCGUCGUGAAGAGGGAAACAACCCAGACCGCCAGCUAAGGUCCCAAAGUCAUGGUUAAGUGGGAAACGAUGUGGGAAGGCACAGACAGCCAGGAUGUUGGCUUAGAAGCAGCCAUCAUUUAAAGAAAGCGUAAUAGCUCACUGGUCGAGUCGGCCUGCGCGGAAGAUGUAACGGGGCUAAACCAUGCACCGAAGCUGCGGCAGCGACGCUUAUGCGUUGUUGGGUAGGGGAGCGUUCUGUAAGCCUGCGAAGGUGGCCUGUGAGGGCUGCUGGAGGUAUCAGAAGUGCGAAUGCUGACAUAAGUAACGAUAAAGCGGGUGAAAAGCCCGCUCGCCGGAAGACCAAGGGUUCCUGUCCAACGUUAAUCGGGGCAGGGUGAGUCGACCCCUAAGGCGAGGCCGAAAGGCGUAGUCGAUGGGAAACAGGUUAAUAUUCCUGUACUUGGUGUUACUGCGAAGGGGGGACGGAGAAGGCUAUGUUAGCCGGGCGACGGUUGUCCCGGUUUAAGCAUGUAGGCGGAGGUUCCAGGUAAAUCCGGUACCUUUUAACGCUGAGGUGUGAUGACGAGGCACUACGGUGCUGAAGUAACAAAUGCCCUGCUUCCAGGAAAAGCCUCUAAGCAUCAGGUAACAUUAAAUCGUACCCCAAACCGACACAGGUGGUCAGGUAGAGAAUACCAAGGCGCUUGAGAGAACUCGGGUGAAGGAACUAGGCAAAAUGGUGCCGUAACUUCGGGAGAAGGCACGCUGGUGUGUAGGUGAAGUCCCUGCGGACGGAGCUGAGACCAGUCGAAGAUACCAGCUGGCUGCAACUGUUUAUUAAAAACACAGCACUGUGCAAACACGAAAGUGGACGUAUACGGUGUGACGCCUGCCCGGUGCCGGAAGGUUAAUUGAUGGGGUUAUCCGUAAGGAGAAGCUCUUGAUCGAAGCCCCGGUAAACGGCGGCCGUAACUAUAACGGUCCUAAGGUAGCGAAAUUCCUUGUCGGGUAAGUUCCGACCUGCACGAAUGGCGUAAUGAUGGCCAGGCUGUCUCCACCCGAGACUCAGUGAAAUUGAACUCGCUGUGAAGAUGCAGUGUACCCGCGGCAAGACGGAAAGACCCCGUGAACCUUUACUAUAGCUUGACACUGAACAUUGAGCCUUGAUGUGUAGGAUAGGUGGGAGGCUUUGAAGCGUGGACGCCAGUCUGCGUGGAGCCAACCUUGAAAUACCACCCUUUAAUGUUUGAUGUUCUAACGUUGGCCCGUAAUCCGGGUUGCGGACAGUGUCUGGUGGGUAGUUUGACUGGGGCGGUCUCCUCCCAAAGAGUAACGGAGGAGCACGAAGGUUAGCUAAUCCUGGUCGGACAUCAGGAGGUUAGUGCAAUGGCAUAAGCUAGCUUGACUGCGAGCGUGACGGCGCGAGCAGGUGCGAAAGCAGGUCAUAGUGAUCCGGUGGUUCUGAAUGGAAGGGCCAUCGCUCAACGGAUAAAAGGUACUCCGGGGAUAACAGGCUGAUACCGCCCAAGAGUUCAUAUCGACGGCGGUGUUUGGCACCUCGAUGUCGGCUCAUCACAUCCUGGGGCUGAAGUAGGUCCCAAGGGUAUGGCUGUUCGCCAUUUAAAGUGGUACGCGAGCUGGGUUUAGAACGUCGUGAGACAGUUCGGUCCCUAUCUGCCGUGGGCGCUGGAGAAUUGAGGGGGGCUGCUCCUAGUACGAGAGGACCGGAGUGGACGCAUCACUGGUGUUCGGGUUGUCAUGCCAAUGGCACUGCCCGGUAGCUAAAUGCGGAAGAGAUAAGUGCUGAAAGCAUCUAAGCACGAAACUUGCCCCGAGAUGAGUUCUCCCUGAGACUUUAAGUCUCCUGAAGGAACGUUGAAGACGACGACGUUGAUAGGCCGGGUGUGUAAGCGCAGCGAUGCGUUGAGCUAACCGGUACUAAUGAACCGUGAGGCUUAACCUU